UUGCUUCCAAGCCUGAAAAACUACGAAUAGGCAGGUCUAGCGUCCUCCCUGUCAUCAUUAAAUCAGAGAGAAAAACACAAUUAACACAGGCAAAGGAAAAGGCAGCACGCGCUGUUGUUCACAAUAUGAAACAAGACUGUGAAAAAACCAGUGUCAACUUGGGUCAGAUUAAUCCCUGUGCAUAUGGAAGGACUCCUAGGGGAGAUGUGUGUCAUUCAGUAUGCAAAGGAAAAACAGAUCAAAACCUAUCAAGUGAGACAGACUGUAUUCAAGU